UACGUAGGGGGCAAGCGUUGUCCGGAUUUAUUGGGCGUAAAGAGCGUGUAGGCGGUUAGGUAGGUCCGUUGUGAAAACUCGAGGCUCAACCUCGAGACGUCGAUGGAAACCAUCUGGCUAGAGUCCGGAAGAGGAGAGUGGAAUUCCUGGUGUAGCGGUGGAAUGCGCAGAUAUCAGGAGGAACACCGGUGGCGAAGGCGGGUCUCUGGGCAGUAACUGACGCUGAGGAGCGAAAGCGUGGGGAGCGAACAGG
rnacentral:rRNA from 1 species